rnacentral:rRNA from 1 species
CCUAUCAACUUUCGAUGGUACUUUCUGUGCCUACCAUGGUGACCAUAGAUAACGGGGAAUCAGGGUUCCAAUCUG